AUUGAACGCUGGCGGCAGGCUUAACACAUGCAAGUCGAGCGGAUGAAGGGAGCUUGCUCCUGGAUUCAGCGGCGGACGGGUGAGUAAUGCCUAGGAAUCUGCCUGGUAGUGGGGGAUAACGUCCGGAAACGGGCGCUAAUACCGCAUACGUCCUGAGGGAGAAAGUGGGGGAUCUUCGGACCUCACGCUAUCAGAUGAGCCUAGGUCGGAUUAGCUAGUUGGUGGGGUAAAGGCCUACCAAGUCGACGAUCCGUAACUGGUCUGAGAGGAUGAUCAGUCACACUGGAACUUAGACACGGUCCAGACUCCUACGGGAGGCAGCAGUGGGGAAUAUUGGACAAUGGGCGAAAGCCUGAUCCAGCCAUGCCGCGUGUGUGAAGAAGGUCUUCGGAUUGUAAAGCACUUUAAGUUGGGAGGAAGGGCAGUAAGUUAAUACCUUGCUGUUUUGACGUUACCAACAGAAUAAGCACCGGCUAACUUCGUG
rnacentral:rRNA from 1 species